rnacentral:rRNA from 1 species
UACGUAGGGCGCAAGCGUUAUCCGGAAUUAUUGGGCGUAAAGAGCUCGUAGGCGGUUUGUCGCGUCUGCCGUGAAAGUCCGGGGCUCAACCCCGGGCCUGCAUUCGAUACGGGCAGACUAGAGUUCGGUAGGGGAGUCUGGAAUUCCUGGUGUAGCGGUGAAAUGCGCAGAUAUCAGGAGGAACACCGGUGGCGAAGGCGGGUCUCUGGGCCGAUACUGACGCUGAGGAGCGAAAGCGUGGGGAGCGAACAGG